rnacentral:lncRNA from 10 species
GAUAGCACUGGGAGAUAUACCUAAUGCUAGAUGACGAGUUAGUGGGUGCAGCGCACCAGCAUGGCACAUGUAUACAUAUGUAACUAACCUGCACAUUGUACACAUGUACCCUAAAUCUUAAAGUAUAAUACUAAUUAAAAAAUAAAGAAAGAAAGAAAUGCUUAGUAAAUGGGAAAAAAAGGAACAAGGCAGGUAGAGGCACUGGAGCACUACAUUCAACAUGUAUUACCCUGUAUUUUUAAUCAAUUCAUUAAUAUUCUUUCUUCUGCUUAUUUGCUAGUUUCAAGUAAAAAUGAAAAUCUCAACCGUGUCAUUAUUCAUGCCAAGCCUUAAACCUGGAUCAAGCUUUUCUAUCUAAUGUCACUCAUCAAAGACAAUUGUAAAUCCUUCAUCUACCUUAUCUUAUCUAAUACUCACAAAAACAAAGGGUGAUAUGGCAGAGACAGUUACAGUGCUCACCAAUGACUGCAAAAUGUCCGCAUCUCCCAGCCUCACUUGCAGAUAGAUGGGGACCAUGGAACUAGUUCCCACCAAAGAACUAUGAGUAGAAAUAGCAUGUGUCUGGAGCCAAAGAAGUUAAAAGCUGACAUGCCUCCUCCAUCCCUCUUUUCUCCUGCAAUAAUUAUCUUGGCUUGGAAGCCACAAGAGAAGAUGAGCUGACAGAUCCACACUGGAAUCUACAAGAGUGAAAAAUAUAAUUUCAUUGUGUUAAACCACUAAGAUUUCAGAAUUUGUCUGUUAUAACAGCAUAGCCUAUCCUGUCCUGACAAACAUAGAUAAUAUUUGGAAUAUGUAAUAACUAGUACAGAACAGGCACUAACAUAUUAGAAUGAAUGCAAUGACCAAUGAAUGAACGUCAUCGGCUGUACAUGACUGACAUGGCCAUAUGAGUCCAUACCAGUUAAAUAGCGAUGAAAACAACUCUACAAAUUUAUCCCAGUUUUAUAAUUGAUGAAACAGAAGCAUUGAGAGCUUGCCUAAGACAAUGACUUGUAAAUGGCAGAGUAGGAAUUCAAAUCAGCUGUUUGAUACAUAGACCAUUCUCUUUCUAUCUCAACAUUCUGCUUCCUACUUGUUGAAUGAUGCCUAAAUUACCCGAACAAUUAAUUCAUCAUGACUGCAGUAGAAGUGUCCGAAUACUUCAUUGUUUAUUUAAACCAUAGGGCAUGGUCCAAUCGUAUAUGUUUAUUCUUGUUGAAUUUUCUGUAACUUGAACUCAUUCUUGC